UUUUUUUAAAUGAAUAGGACACUUUUUAUGGUUUAGAGUCCCUUUUUUGGAGCAUGAAAAGCAAGCUUCUCACACUGAGAAUCGAUUAUGAGCAAAAGGCACAGAGUCAAGGCUCUCACUUAAGUAUAGAGGGGUGAAACCGGAAUUCGUGCUCCAAACAUAACAAAAUGGUUGAUCGAUAUGUUUGGAAACCCAUUACUUUCUUCUAUCUUGGAAAAGCUAAAGAGAGAAGCGUAUAGAGAAACAGAAGACGUCUGUGGUUGCGAGAAGAUUCAUCACCUACCAUCGACGAGAUCUGCUUAUUGGUUCGCCUAUGUGCUUGCGAGGUCUGCAUCUGUGCUUGCGAGUCGCCAUUGUGCUUGCUGGUUCGCGACCUAUUUUCUCCCUUUUAAUUUGUUAUUAUGGAAUAAAAUAGAACCAUGACCUUCCCAUUUGGUUAUUAGGAAGGCAUUUUGGAAAUUGAUUCGCUAAAAAGUAAUGAGUAGCUUCUACUUGGAACAACUAUAGCCUUGGGUUGAUCCACUUUGCAUGGAUGUUAAGUGUAACAACGAUGUUGUUGUAAUUUCUAUUAUGAAGCAUUACUUGUCAGUACAAGCUAGCAUGAAAAGAGAGGUUUAGCCUUUAAUUGGCA